rnacentral:rRNA from 1 species
UUCCNUAGGUGACCUGCGGAAGGAUCAUUA